AUGGCUGAGAGGCUCUGGUCUGUGGGAGGCUCCAGGUGGGCACAGGACCCCCCCUACUCACCCGAGCCAGAUCCGCGGGGCUCCAGCGCUGCUGCGGACAGGAAGAGGCUGAAGGAUCCGCGCUCUGGACCACUUUCUCCGCCCCAGCUGGGUUCUGCCCUACCUGAGAGCCACGCCCACCAAGACUCCGCCCUUGAAAAAUCCCGCCCCCGCUAUUGGACCCGCCCCGCCCCUCGCUCUCGCUCCGCCCCCUCGGAACGCUUCUACUAACCACGCCCCCUUCGCACGGGUCUUCCUCGCAGACCCCGCCUCCCUGGGAAACUCCGCGGUUUUUCCCCCCAGGCAUGGCUCCGCCCCCUUAUAACAUGCUCCGCCCCCUCUGGCUGGCCACGCCCACUCAGCGCUCUCGGCGGCUGCGUGAGAAAUUCCAGUGAUGUUCGCACCUGCACAGCUCGGCCGUGCAGCCGGGGCUGGUCCCCGAGCAUCUGGGCCGGGGUUCCGGGCUGUGACGCAGGGAGGCUACACUUCCUCCGUGCGGUCAGGCUGGGCUUCCUGGAAAGGAGGUUUUGUGGAGAGACGUGUGGGAAAACACGAGGCUUCCAAGGGGAGGGAUUGUAACCGUCAGCAAAGCAGGUUUUACUGAGUGAUUACUCUGUACCGAGACCGUGUUGCUUGCUGAUCCGCCCUGUGGGAGGUGGGCACUAUUUUCACACACACACACACACACACACACACAUGCACACACUGUCUGGGCCCCUCCAUCGCAUCAGGGCGAGCUCACCGUGAUCUGCGCUCUAACUCCGAGCGCAGCGAGGUGAAUCGUCACCAUUUCAUAGACGAGGAAACUGAAGGCCAGCAGCAAGCCGAGGCGCUCGGGAACGGAAAAGCUGGGGUGCCUCCAGGAUUGCAAAACUGGGUGUUUCCAGGCUGACUAGCUCCCCACCGCUUCCGCCUGCCUCUCCCGAUAGGGAAGGGACUCCAGGUCGGUAGGAGGCUCCGGUCUCCCGUCUAUGCAGUGAGGGGUCCAGCGCCGUCUAGUGGUUUCGAAAAAGUGCUGCGGGAAACUGGGUCAGCUGAGGGGCGACCUACAGCUUGCGGCGGGGUACAGUGCGGGGAGGGGCCGCCUGUGCGGCACUAGGAAGGAGUAAAUGUUAGUGCAUCCAUGAAAAACAGCAGCACGGUCGAUGGCGAGGACGGCGGCUUGCAUUUGGGUGGUGGCCACGGUCAUGGCCGAAAAUGGACGGAGCUGGGAUCGAUGCCAGAGGGGCAUCAAUGCAGUUUUCACUUAUUUAUUCGUUCAAAAAAUAUUUAUGGAGCCCCAUGUGCGUGCCAAGGGCUGGGGGGGGGGAUCAGCAGAAAACAAAGCACAGACACAGAUUCCUGAAGAGAGGAUAAAGUACGACCUGGUGAGCUGCUGCUUGCCUGGCACCCCAGCCACUUAGUCACUUAGACCCUGCCUCAAAAUGCAAUAUAAAAGCCCGGAGUGAUGGCCAGCACUCGGGAGGCUGAGGCAGGAGGAUCACUGCGAGUCUGAGACCAGCUUGUACUACAAAGUGAGCUCAAGGACAGACAACUGCAGAGCAAGACCCAGUGUCAAAAAGACAGUAAGACAAUCAAUCAAUAAUUAUAAAAUAAAAUAAAGGAGGGGGCUAGGGAUAUAGCUCAGCGGCACAGUGCCUUGCUGGCAAGCUCAAGGUUGUAACCAACACGAAAAGAAAAAAAGAAAAGAAAACAAUAGAACACAGGCUGGAAAUGUAGCUUAGUGGAAAUGUAGUUAAUGCAAAGGUCCUGUGGUUCAGUCCCCAGUCCUGGGGGGGGGGGGAAGCAGUCAUUCUUCAAUCCUUCAUACUGGGGUGGUGUAAUUUCAGGAUCCCUGAAGGUUCCAGACUCUGCGGCCGCUCAUGUCUCUUGCAUAAGCAGUGUAGUAUUUGCCUAUACAGUGGUCUGUACAUAGUAUGCACACAAUUCUUUUUUCUGAAUAUUUUUGAACUGUGACUGGUUGAAUCCAAGGAUGUGGAAGCCACAGAAACAUAGGUCUCCUGUAUAAGCGUUU
ensembl:lincRNA